AACGAACGCUGGCGGCAGGCUUAACACAUGCAAGUCGAGCGCCCCGCAAGGGGAGCGGCAGACGGGUGAGUAACGCGUGGGAAUCUACCCAUCUCUACGGAAUAACUCAGGGAAACUUGUGCUAAUACCGUAUACGCCCUUUUGGGGAAAGAUUUAUCGGAGAUGGAUGAGCCCGCGUUGGAUUAGCUAGUUGGUGGGGUAAAGGCCUACCAAGGCGACGAUCCAUAGCUGGUCUGAGAGGAUGAUCAGCCACAUUGGGACUGAGACACGGCCCAAACUCCUACGGGAGGCAGCAGUGGGGAAUAUUGGACAAUGGGCGCAAGCCUGAUCCAGCCAUGCCGCGUGAGUGAUGAAGGCCCUAGGGUUGUAAAGCUCUUUCACCGGAGAAGAUAAUGACGGUAUCCGGAGAAGAAGCCCCGGCUAACUUCGUGCCAGCCGCCGCGGUAA
rnacentral:rRNA from 1 species